rnacentral:lncRNA from 1 species
CGCUGACCUUUAUGGUUACCCGAGGGGUUGAUACAAGCUAUGCCAAUGGAAUACUGACAGCGUCUUUUAUUUGCUUAACCCUGACACAGGGUAUCUAAAAUAUCCACCCCCUCUAAAUCCAGGAUAAGGGGAAAGUUGACCAAACUUAAUCUUUCCCAUACAGAAAAAAAAUAAUUACAUAUACCCAUGUUAAAAAAUAAACAUAAAAAUCCAGCUCUAAACAGCUAUCUUAAUUUUAGAGUACCAAACUCCCAACAAUUUAC